UUGUGCGCAUCUUACGACUGAUUUUGUAUCUCUGACAGAUAUAAAUCUUUCUCGAUGUAUACCGACACACGUCCAUAAUAUUCAAACAAUCCAAUUAAUCCCUCCAAUGAUUCAUCAUUUACUAUAUCGUGAGCUAUAUAUUCAUUCGCUCCCGUAGGGCAUCGAAUUGUGAAUUUAAGACGAUAUUCUUCUCUACUACAAUUAGCUAAAUGAUACAUUCUCGUCUCAAAAUUAGUAUAUGCCGUAUCUGAACGAAUCACGAUCAAUUUCUUUCGACCGCCGACAUAUU
rnacentral:lncRNA from 1 species